rnacentral:rRNA from 1 species
AUUGAACGCUGGCGGCAGGCCUAACACAUGCAAGUCGAACGAGUGGCGGACGGGUGAGUAAUGUCUGGGAAACUGCCUGAUGGAGGGGGAUAACUACUGGAAACGGUAGCUAAUACCGCAUACCAUCGGAUGUGCCCAGCUGGGAUUAGCUAGUAGGUGGGGUAAAGGCUCACCUAGGCGACGAUCCCUAGCUGGUCUGAGAGGAUGACCGGCCACACUGGAACUGAGACACGGUCCCGACUCCUACGGGGUGCCGCAGUGGGGAAUAUUUCACAAUGGGCGAAAGCCUGAAUGCGCCAUGCAGAGGGGAUGAAGGAGGCCUUCGGGUUGUAAAGUUGUUUCAGCGGGGAGGCGUUACCCGCAAAAGAAGCACCGGCUAACUCCGUGCCAGCAGCCGCGGUAAUAC